rnacentral:rRNA from 1 species
AGUNNAAGCCCUAUUACCUGGCUACACACGUGCUACAAUGGACGGUACAACGAGAAGCGACCCUGUGAAGGCAAGCGGAUCUCUGAAAGCCGUUCUCAGUUCGGAUUGCAGGCUGCAACUCGCCUGCAUGAAGCUGGAAUCGCUAGUAAUCGCAAAUCAGCACGUUGCGGUGAAUACGUUUCCGGGGCCUUGUACACACCGCCCGUCACACCAUGAGAGUCUGUUACCGCCCGAAGCCGGCGGGAUAACCGAAAGGAGUCAGCCGUCUAAAGCGGGACAGAUGAUUUGGGUGAAGUCGUAACAAGGUAGUCCUUGGACGAA